rnacentral:lncRNA from 1 species
AUCGUUAGCAAAUGAAUGCAAGAACAGAAAGUCAAGUGCUGCAUGUUCUCACUUGUAAGUGGGAGUGAAACGAUGAGAACUCCUGAACACAAAGAGGGAAACAACCGGCACUAAGAAUGAUACUGAAAGCAUCUCAAAAAUAAAAUCACGAGUAUCUGCAGAUCACUAUGAGACUGGACUGGAACAUUACCUUCAGACACAUUGAUAUGACUACAUGCUGGACAUUUUCUUGCGGAAAUCCAAAAGAAAUCCCCAUUUUCUUGCAGAAAUCUAAAAUAAUCUCCCCUAUGUGCAAGUCAGACUGAGCACCACUCCCAAGACCAUGACCUCCCCUGCAGCCCUGCUCCUUCCCACUCACCUCUCCUCUUGAGAAAGCCACCUCCCACCACCCAGUCUGCAGUGCCAGAAAACUGGAAACCAGCCCCUAAGCUGCUUUCACCUUCGGCCCAUUUCUCACUAGCCAGCCUCUCCCACGGCCUCCCCAGUUUCUUCAAAUACACCCCCUCCACUAUUCACCAUACUGCCACCGUGAUUUAUUUACAACUUUUUGUCCGGAUUACCUCAGUAGCCUUCUAAUUGUCCCCUUUGCAUCUAAAGUAGCCCCUCUCAUCCCCCAAAUCUUACGUCACUCUUCUACAUAAUUCUGGCUUUCCAUGACCCAUAAACCACAUUUCUCAAGUGUGCUCUAUGCUGGCUUGAAUAUGUUAAUAAUCUUAAUUCUACUUUUAGUGCAAUUUUCUUAGAGCUGGCAUCACUUUCAUCAUGACGUGAGAACUUACUAGAGAUAGGCAAUGAUGACUCACAGUCAAGCCACAUGUCAUAUGCUGCAGACAUCUGGACUGCUGCUUAUUUGCAAAUCCUUUUCUUCAUAUUUUUCUCAUUUGUAGCACUGGAUCAAUUCCAAUUAAGAGUUUAAUAAUGAAUUAACUAAUGAUUUAAACAGGUGGAUAAGACUAACACUGAACCAAUGAUUUUAAGUAAAUCUAAAUACAUAAAUCCCCCCAAAUUAUUAAUCUAUGUUGUUUACUAAGAAGUGUAUUAAAAUGAUAUUGAAAAAGUUUGCUUUGGGAAAGAGCUAGAAGUUAGAAGGUCUAGGUUCAAAUCCCGCCUCUACUCCAUCCUUGACUAAGAUGUUGGACCCAUCACCUCAACUUUCCUUGGGUCUUUUUGCCCAGACAUGACCCGAUGACACAGAGCUUACCUGGACCUCCACAAUAGUAAAUAGAACAGGGCCAGCAAACCAAAAUUUGUUGAGUCCUUUAGAAUUAAGUAGCUUAGAUAAAUUUUCAUCAAAAUCUUUAUAUAGUAGGGAAUAGAAAAAAGUCAAUUCUGUUUUAUUUGAGGAUGUAUGAAUAUGUUACCAUUUUUCAGACUCUGAUUUACCUUCCAAUUAUUGUUUAUUGGGGUCAUUGUAAAUUAGUUAUCAUUUUUUGAAUACACAUUCACUGCUGACAAAGUGGUGAAGCCAGAAGUUAUGUUUGACCAGGGAAGAUUAUGACCCUCAAAGGAGAAAAAUUCACAGGGGGUAGUUGAUUAUUGGUGGAAUGGAGUGAGAGUGAAUUCCUUAAAAGUUUAAACGAAAGCAGAACUAUAUUCAUAUCAUGGAGGGAACUUAGUUUCUAAUAUGAUGAACUAUUGCCCCAAGUCAUGACAAUACCUUGCUCUCUGGAAGAGAAUGAGUGAGUUUUUCAUCCGCCAAGAUACACACUCUAUAUUUCCAACCAUCACAUCUGCCUUGCAGGCUGACUGAACCCAGAGCAAAUCAAUCACAAAAGUUAAUCCAAAAGACUUCCCUUCAGCUGCUGGAAAUCAGUCAUCACAUCUGUGAAAAGAGUGCUAGUUAUAACAAAUGAGAUCACAAAUUUGACCAUUUUAUUAGACACCCUCUAUUAGUGUUAACAGACAAAGAUGAAGGUUAAGUUGAAAUCAAAUUGAAAUCUUCUUCCCUCUGUACAGAUUGCAAUAUCUGAUAAUACCCUCAACUUUCUUGGUGCAAAUUAAUUGCCUGGUACUCACAGUCCAGUGUUAACAGGCAAUAAUGGUGUGAUUCCAGAGGAGAGUACUAGGUGGCAGGAAAAUAAAUGAGAUUAGCAGUAUUUGACUUGGAGCCAUAGGCAUCAAUUCUGCUCCAGCUGUCGACCAGGUUCUAAAAACAAGACUCGGAGCAGCUUUUGCUCUUGCUAGUGAUGCAGGGCCAGGAGAGCCCCCACACUCUGCAUUUGCAGGUGUCCAUGAGGGGAAGCCACUCCUGCAUUUAUCCUGUGAGUGGAGAAGCUCAGAGGAAUGAGGACAUUCCAACAGGGUAUCAGAAUUCUCUUUUGUUUAUGCUAAUUGACAGCAGGAACAUCACCAUCUUGGACAAACACCACCAUUUUAAGUUCUCUUUUAUUUAAAAACUGCCUAAAUCCAGCCCCAAAACAUCAGCCUAAUGGCUAUUGUCAGCAUAAUCAGAAACAUUCCAACCCUAAGAUAAACACCCCUCUGGCCAGAAAUAUGCCGACCCCGAGACAGCCUCCCCUCCGACCAGAGACAUUCCAAACCCGCAGUAAACUUUCCUUCACAUGGAAACAUUCCAAACCUACAAAAA